rnacentral:lncRNA from 1 species
CACACACACACACACGCAAACUCACAAACACAACACACAGACAGAAAAUGACAAAUAAACACACACACUCACACACACACACACAGGAGCCCACAGAAAAAAGCAAAUAGACGCAGAAACGGGCACGUGCAGUAGUUCUGGCCACACAUGUUCCCUAGGUAUCCACAGAAUGGCAUGGGUAUUGUAUAUUCAUAAAGAUGGAGAUCAGUCAUGGAGGCCAAGGACAAGUAGGUGCACUGGUUGAACUACAGUAGAGAAUGGCAUGGAAGUGGUGAGCAAUGGACCUGGGCCUGUUUCUCAAGUGUGUAUUUGAUUUCUUUACAAUUCCCCGGAGAAGUUGUCAUGGGAGGCCAGCCGCCUGCUGGCAAGGAAGAUGGUUGAUUCUUCUGAUCAAUGGAGGCCCUGCAGAGUCCUGUAGUCACUGUGGCCUGGCAUCCAUGGUGCACCCAAUGCUGGUGGAUGGCUUAGGACGGAGAAGGAAGACCCGGACCUCACAGUGGUCAUCUCAGUGCAGAAGACCAGGUGUCUGUUUUCAUGUCGAGGAGAGCCCAAGGCCCAGACCUCAGGCAGACCUUGGUGUUGAUUUUUGAUUAGUUGAGAACAGGGGAGUGCCAAGGUGUUAGGGGAGAGUGCAGAGCAAUAGGUGUCGGGGCAAACAGUGAAAGCCUCUUCAGCCUACCCUGCAGCAUUGGUCACCAGGAGCCCUCCUGGAAGGGAUUUCUUUGCCUCCUGAGCUGUGAGAUGCCUGUGGUGCAGUGGCAGAGGCCUAGGUACGCCUCACCUGAGAGGGCGGCUAGAGACAGUGUCUGCUCAGGACAUCAGAUGUCCCGUGAGGAGGAGUGUGUACUCACACCAGGGGAGUUGACUGGGGCAGUUGCUGUGGGAGGUGUGGUAACUGCUGGAAGGAAGAUGCUCAAUUCUUCUGAGCAACGAAGGCCACACGGAGUCCUGGAUUCUGUGUGGCCUGGCAUCCAUGGCGCACUGUGUGCUGGCAGGUGGCUCAGGACGGGGAUGACAAGUUGGCCAGCAGAGGUGUCAGAGGGCAGGUUCCAGGGAAUACAAGGGUCAGACUUGUGGGCAGUUAUCAUGGGACACCCGCCAUAUGCUGGCAAGGAAGAUGGUCAGUUCUUCUGAGCCACAAAGGCCCCCAACAUCCUGGA